rnacentral:rRNA from 1 species
GACAGAGGAUGCAAGCGUUAUCCGGAAUGAUUGGGCGUAAAGCGUCUGUAGGUGGCUUUCAAGUCCGCCGUCAAAUCCCAGGGCUCAACCCUGGACAGGCGGUGGAAACUACCAAGCUGGAGUACGGUAGGGGCAGAGGGAAUUUCCGGUGGAGGCGGUGAAAUGCAUUGAGAUCGGAAAGAACAACCAACGGCGAAAGC